GGGGAUAUGGUCUAGGGGUAUGAUUUCUCUUUCGCAUCACCAGAUGUUACUAGAGAAGGUCCGGGAUUCGAAUUCCCGUGUCUCCA
rnacentral:tRNA from 1 species